rnacentral:misc_RNA from 1 species
AUAUAAAUUUUAUAUAUUUAUAUUAAUUUUCUCGCCAACAUAAACGUGUUUUAACUAUCUUUUUUAAUUAUUUCAAAAUUAAAAAAUAAAAAAGUGGAAAAGCAUAAAAUCUUAAAAAUCAAAAACACCAAGAAAAAUCAAGAACACUAUAAAAUCAUUAAACCACAAAAUCAUCAAGCUAAAACUAUUAAUCUGUCACGACCCAACUUAUGGGCCG